rnacentral:lncRNA from 1 species
UCAGCUCCCUCCCGGCAUUCUGGAAUAGAGUUUGUUGGUGCAAAAAUCUGCUAGCGCCAGAGAAGCUGGAGUCGCGGUCGCCACCGGGCCUGCAAAAGAAGUCUAAACCAGAGGUGGGGUUGCUCCGGCAAGACCCUCCGACGCUCAAGUCAGUUCUCUGCCUCAACAAGAAUGGAGUGCUCGAACGAAAAUUUUAGCAGAGUUUCUAGGUAAAAACGAGAGCUUAGAGAAUA